rnacentral:rRNA from 1 species
AGUGAACGCUGGCGGUAGGCCUAACACAUGCAAGUCGAACGGCAGCACAGUAAGAGCUUGCUCUUACGGGUGGCGAGUGGCGGACGGGUGAGGAAUACAUCGGAAUCUACUUUUUCGUGGGGGAUAACGUAGGGAAACUUACGCUAAUACCGCAUACGACCUACGGGUGAAAGCAGGGGAUCUUCGUACCUUGCGCGAUUGAAUGAGCCGAUGUCGGAUUAGCUAGUUGGCGGGGUAAAGGCCCGCCAAGGCGACGAUCCGUAGCUGGUCUGAGAGGAUGAUCAGCCACACUGGAACUGAGACACGGUCCAGACUCCUACGGGAGGCAGCAGUGGGGAAGAUUGGACAAUGGGCGCAAGCCUGAUCCAGCCAUACCGCGUGGGUGAAGAAGGCCUUCGGGUUGUAAAGCCCUUUUGUUGGGAAAGAAAAGCAGCAGGUUAAUACCCCGCUGUUCUGACGGUACCCAAAGAAUAAGCACCGGCUAACUUCGUG